rnacentral:rRNA from 2 species
UGCCUAAUACAUGCAAGUCGAGCGAACUGAUUAGAAGCUUGCUUCUAUGACGUUAGCGGCGGACGGGUGAGUAACACGUGGGCAACCUGCCUGUAAGACUGGGAUAACUUCGGGAAACCGAAGCUAAUACCGGAUAGGAUCUUCUCCUUCAUGGGAGAUGAUUGAAAGAUGGUUUCGGCUAUCACUUACAGAUGGGCCCGCGGUGCAUUAGCUAGUUGGUGAGGUAACGGCUCACCAAGGCAACGAUGCAUAGCCGACCUGAGAGGGUGAUCGGCCACACUGGGACUGAGACACGGCCCAGACUCCUACGGGAGGCAGCAGUAGGGAAUCUUCCGCAAUGGACGAAAGUCUGACGGAGCAACGCCGCGUGAGUGAUGAAGGCUUUCGGGUCGUAAAACUCUGUUGUUAGGGAAGAACAAGUACAAGAGUAACUGCUUGUACCUUGACGGUACCUAACCAGAAAGCCACGGCUAACUACGUGCCAGCAGCCGCGGUAAUACGUAGGUGGCAAGCGUUAUCCGGAAUUAUUGGGCGUAAAGCGCGCGCAGGCGGUU